rnacentral:rRNA from 1 species
CCUACGGGGGGCAGCAGUGGGGAAUAUUGGACAAUGGGGGGAACCCUGAUCCAGCCAUGCCGCGUGUGUGAAGAAGGCCCUCGGGUUGUAAAGCACUUUCAGUGAGGAAGAACGCCUGGUGGUUAAUACCCAUCAGGAAAGACAUCACUCACAGAAGAAGCACCGGCUAACUCCGUGCCAGCAGCCGCGGUAAUACGGAGGGUGCGAGCGUUAAUCGGAAUUACUGGGCGUAAAGCGCGCGUAGGUGGCUUGAUAAGCCGGUUGUGAAAGCCCCGGGCUCAACCUGGGAACGGCAUCCGGAACUGUCAAGCUAGAGUGCAGGAGAGGAAGGUAGAAUUCCCGGUGUAGCGGUGAAAUGCGUAGAGAUCGGGAGGAAUACCAGUGGCGAAGGCGGCCUUCUGGACUGACACUGACACUGAGGUGCGAGAGCGUGGGUAGCAAACAGGAUUAGCUACCCCAGUAGUA